GUGGGGAAUCUUGCGCAAUGGGCGAAAGCCUGACGCAGCCAUGCCGCGUGAAUGAUGAAGGUCUUAGGAUUGUAAAAUUCUUUCACCGGGGACGAUAAUGACGGUACCCGGAGAAGAAGCUCCGGCUAACUUCGUGCCAGCAGCCGCGGUAAUACGAAGGGGGCUAGCGUUGCUCGGAAUUACUGGGCGUAAAGGGCGCGUAGGCGGACAGCUUAGUCAGAGGUGAAAGCCCAGGGCUCAACCUUGGAAUUGCCUUGGAUACUGGCUGUCUUGAGUUUGGGAGAGGUGAGUGGAACUCCGAGUGUAGAGGUGAAAUUCGUAGAUAUUCGGAAGAACACCAGUGGCGAAGGCGACUCACUGGCCCAAUACUGACGCUGAGGCGCGAAAGCGUGGGGAGCAAACAGGAUUAGAUACCCUGGUAGUCC
rnacentral:rRNA from 1 species